rnacentral:rRNA from 1 species
GAUGAACGCUGGCGGCGUGCCUAAUACAUGCAAGUCGAGCGAACAGACGAGGAGCUUGCUCCUCUGACGUUAUCGGCGGACGGGUGAGUAACACGUGGAUAACCUACCUAUAAGACUGGGAUAACUUCGGGAAACCGGAGCUAAUACCGGAUAAUAUAUUGAACCGCAUGGUUCAAUAGUUAAAGACGGUUUUGCUGUCACUUAUAGAUGGAUCCGCGCUGCAUUAGCUAGUUGGUAAGGUAAAGGCUUAGCAAGGCAACGAUGCAUAGCCGACCUGAGAGGGUGAUCGGCCACACUGGAACUGAGGCACGGUCCAGACUCCGACGGGAGGCAGCAGUAGGGAAUCUUCCGCAAUGGACGAAAGCCUGACGGAGCAACGCCGCGUGAGUGAUGAAGGUCUUCGGAUCGUAAAACUCUGUUAUUAGGGAAGAACAAAUGUGUAAGUACCUAUGCACGUCUUGACGGUACCUAAUCAGAAAGCCACGGCUAACUACGUG